UACGUAGGUGGCAAGCGUUGUCCGGAUUUAUUGGGCGUAAAGCGCGCGCAGGCGGUCCUUUAAGUCUGAUGUGAAAGCCCACGGCUCAACCGUGGAGGGUCGUUGGAAACUGAGGGACUUGAGUGCAGAAGAGGAAAGUGGAAUUCCACGUGUAGCGGUGAAAUGCGUAGAGAUGUGGAGGAACACCAGUGGCGAAGGCGACUUUCUGGUCUGUAACUGACGCUGAGGCGCGAAAGCGUAGGUAGCGAACAGG
rnacentral:misc_RNA from 1 species